rnacentral:rRNA from 1 species
GAACUAGCUAACUGAAAUCACAACAGCCUGAUGGGUAAGUUGUGAAAAGUAAGGGAAAAUAAUGAUAGCACCUUACUUAAUAGUGUUGUCCAAAACUGGUGCCAGAAGACUCGGUAAGGCCAGAAACGCAAACGUUAGUCGUCUUAAUCAGGCGUAAAGGGUAAGUAGGCUGCUUUAAAGUUUAUUCUAUAAUCUGAAAAGAUGUCAAUAUAGUAGUGAUAAUAAAAAUUUCCUUUUUUAUCUCAUAUAGAAUAUAACACAAUUAAAGCUAGAAUCAAAUAGAAGAUAAACCAAAUAAUGCUUUGGGUAAGGAUGAUAUCUUAAAAAACAAAGUAGAAUACUCAGGGCGAAAGCUUUUUAUCUAUAAAUGAUUGACGCUGAGGUACGAAGGUGAGGAUAGGAAUUAGGAUUAGAUACCCAGGUACCCCUCUCUGUCAACGAUGAAUGGUAGUUAUUAGUCUUCAUAUAUAAAUAAAUAAUUAUAUAUUAGAUAUAAGUAAUGAUUGAUAGUGAUGUUAACACGUUAACCAUUCCGCCUUGUGAGUACGACUGCAAAGUUAAAAAUAAAAAAAUUA